GACAGAGGGUGCAAGCGUUGUUCGGAAUUACUGGGCGUAAAGGGCGUGUAGGCGGUGAGGUGUGUCUGGUGUGAAAGCCCUCGGCUUAACCGAGGAAAGGCAUUAGAAACUACCUUGCUGGAGUGCAGGAGAGGAUGGCGGAAUUCCUGGUGUAGAGGUGAAAUUCGUAGAUACCAGGAGGAACACCGGAAGCGAAGGCGGCCAUCUGGCCUGUAACUGACGCUGAGACGCGAAAGCGUGGGGAGCAAACAGG
rnacentral:rRNA from 1 species